UACGUAGGGGGCAAGCGUUGUCCGGAAUCAUUGGGCGUAAAGAGCGUGUAGGCGGCCCGAUAAGUCCGCUGUGAAAGUCCAGGGCUCAACCCUGGGAUGCCGGUGGAUACUGUCGGGCUCGAGUCCGGAAGAGGAGUGUGGAAUUCCUGGUGUAGCGGUGAAAUGCGCAGAUAUCAGGAGGAACACCAAUGGCGAAGACAGCUCGCUGGGACGUGACUGACGCUGAGACGCGAAAGCGUGGGGAGCAAACAGG
rnacentral:rRNA from 1 species